rnacentral:rRNA from 1 species
GAUGAACGCUGGCGGCGUGCCUAAUACAUGCAAGUCGAGCGAACGGACGAGAAGCUUGCUUCUCUGGUGUUAGCGGCGGACGGGUGAGUAACACGUGGAUAACCUACCUAUAAGACUGGGAUAACUUCGGGAAACCGUAGCUAAUACCGGAUAAUAUUUUGAACCGCAUGGUUCAAAAGUGAAAGACGGUCUUGCUGUCACUUAUAGAUGGAUCCGCGCUGCAUUAGCUAGUUGGUAAGGUAACGGCUUACCAAGGCAACGAUGCAUAGCCGACCUGAGAGGGUGAUCGGCCACACUGGAACUGAGACACGGUCCAGACUCCUACGGGGGGCAGCAGUAGGGAAUCUUCCGCAAUGGGCGAAAGCCUGACGGAGCAACGCCGCGUGAGUGAUGAAGGUCUUCGGAUCGUAAAACUCUGUUAUUAGGGAAGAACAUAUGUGUAAGUAACUGUGCACAUCUUGACGGUACCUAAUCAGAAAGCCACGGCUAACUACGUG